GGGAUGGGCAUCCGGGGAAUCCUAAUGGCCUCUGAUUCUCGAGUGACACUGUUUCUGGGAAAGGAAACAGGAAGAGGAAUUUCCUCAAAGAAAUGUAUUAAGGCCCUGAAAGGCCCCGAGUAAUUCAAAGGCUGCAGGUGGGACCGUCCCCUCACUCACAAGAUGAGGGGAAGGAAUGACGGGGAGUCGAUGUGAGCUGAGGUCCCCUGCCAGCUGCACGGCCCCAGGUGGGAAACAGCCUCUCCCAGCCUCAGUCUUCCCAUCUGUCGCAUGGGACCCGUGGCUCAAACAACCUUACGGCAACACGGCCUCUUGCACCCAAAGAGCCCUGUCUUCUGGUUAUUCUGCUGCUCUGGUCAGAAACCGCAGUUACCAAAGGGGAUGACGACAGCAUCUCUGGAUUUCACCCCAGGGCCUGGCUUGGUGAGCCGUCCACCGUGACAGGCCGCUAGCCAGGGUGGUCCUGGACAUCGCGGGACUUCGGGCAACCUUACCUCUGAUUCCUAAUCACUGGUAUUUGUUGUGCAAUCAACAAACGGCCUGCACAGUCCCAAACACCCCUAAGGGGGAGCAUGCCCCCAGUGAGAACCAGGCCCCACCAUGCCAUCGUCCCCAGUUACCCUGAGUCAAGGAGCAGUUACCAUGACCAGAUGGAGGGCACUGGACGCGCAGGGGGUUCUGCCUCCCCUCCUCC